CUGUUGAAAUUUAGUAGGGGGCUGUUAUAUUAUGGUCUUCAUUUCAUCAUUAUUAAACC
rfam:Pteropus vampyrus cont1.194834, whole genome shotgun sequence.